rnacentral:rRNA from 1 species
GUGCACGCUGGCGGUAGGCCUAACCCAUGCAAGUCGAACGGCAGCACAGUAAGAGCUUGCUCUUACGGGUGGCGAGUGGCGGACGGGUGAGGAAUACAUCGGAAUCUACUUUUUCGUGGGGGAUAACGUAGGGAAACUUACGCUAAUACCGCAUACGACCUACGGGUGAAAGCAGGGGAUCUUCGGACCUUGCGCGAUUGAAUGAGCCGAUGUCGGAUUAGCUAGUUGGCGGGGUAAAGGCCCACCAAGGCGACGAUCCGUAGCUGGUCUGAGAGGAUGAUCAGUCACACUGGAACUGAGACACGGUCCAGACUCCUACGGGAGGCAGCAGUGGGGAAUAUUGGACAAUGGGCGCAAGCCUGAUCCAGCCAUACCGCGUGGGUGAAGAAGGCCUUCGGGUUGUAAAGCCCUUUUGUUGGGAAAGAAAAGCAGCAGGUUAAUACCCCGCUGUUCUGACGGUACCCAAAGAAUAAGCACCGGCUAACUUCGUG